rnacentral:misc_RNA from 1 species
CCGAGUGAGGGCCCUCUGGGUCCAACCUCCCACCCAUGUUUAUUGUACCUUGUUGCUUCGGCGGGCCCGCCUUUGUGGCCGCCGGGGGGUUCUGCCCCCGGGCCCGCGCCCGCCGAAGACACCUAGAACUCUGUCUGAAGAUUGCAGUCUGAGUGAAAAUAUAAAUUAUUUA